rnacentral:rRNA from 1 species
UACGGAGGGAGCUAGCGUUGUUCGGAAUUACUGGGCGUAAAGCGCACGUAGGCGGCUUUGUAAGUUAGAGGUGAAAGCCCGGGGCUCAACCCUGGGAGGCGGGUGGAUACUGCUGAGCUUGAGUCCGGAAGAGGCGAGUGGAAUUCCUGGUGUAGCGGUGAAAUGCGCAGAUAUCAGGAGGAACACCAAUGGCGAAGGCAGCUCGCUGGGACGGUACUGACGCUGAGACGCGAAAGCGUGGGGAGCAAACAGG